rnacentral:rRNA from 1 species
GACGAACGCUGGCGGCGUGCCUAAUACAUGCAAGUUGAGCGAUGAAGAUUGGUGCUUGCCCCAAUUUGAAGAGCAGCGAACGGGUGAGUAACGCGUGGGGAAUCUGCCUUUGAGCGGGGGACAACAUUUGGAAACGAAUGCUAAUACCGCAUAACAACUUUAAACAUAAGUUUUAAGUUUGAAAGAUGCAAUUGCAUCACUCAAAGAUGAUCCCGCGUUGUAUUAGCUAGUUGGUGAGGUAAAGGCUCACCAAGGCGAUGAUACAUAGCCGACCUGAGAGGGUGAUCGGCCACAUUGGGACUGAGACACGGCCCAAACUCCUACGGGAGGCAGCAGUAGGGAAUCUUCGGCAAUGGACGAAAGUCUGACCGAGCAACGCCGCGUGAGUGAAGAAGGUUGUCGGAUCGUAAAACUCUGUUGGUAGAGAAGAACGUUGGUGAGAGUGGAAAGCUCAUCAAGUGACGGUAACUACCCAGAAAGGGACGGCUAACUACGUG